rnacentral:lncRNA from 1 species
AUAUUUUGUUGGAGUUUAAACUAAUUAUGAAACAAAUGUUUCAUAAUAGAUUUCAAAACCUAUUUUAUGUAUUACUUAUAAAGCCCUAAUGACAUUUAUAUAAGCAAAAGUAUUUUUAUUUAUUUUAUUUUGAAAGGAUUCAAGUCUCAAAAGUUCACACUUUGGAGGAUUUGAAUUUAUAAAUUUACUGGAGUUUAUUUGAACUUAUUUAGAGUUAGGAAUCAAAAGUUAUUAAUAAAAACAUAAAUGAAAAAAAAGAAAAGGAAAAAAAAAGAAGAGAAUGGACCGACCCAACUGGGCCGGCCCAUCUCCACCGAGCGGCCCAGCCCAGCCGAGCACAAGCUCUAAGGAAACUCUCUCCUUCCAUAUUUUCUUCCUUCGAUUACUUUCCUUUCCGCGCGUCUCUCUCCAAAAGGAAACCAUCAUCCUCACCAUCCCAGGAACUGAUUCAGGAAAUCAAUUUGAAGUUUCCUCUCAUAAUCGCAGUCUACAAAAGAGGCGCCCCGAAUGUCGGGCGUCGACAUCCACGCCCGUUCUCCCUCCUCGGCCACUAUAAAAGGAUUCCACGUGCGUCACUUUGAGCCUUUCCCUCUCCUCUUCCAUUCCCAUGUAGAAAGUUUGGCCUCAAAACCUCUGUAAAGCCGGCUAUGUCGACGUCUUCCUCCGCCGGUCACCGCCACCAUUGUUGCCGGUAAGAUCACCCCGAACCUCCGUUCUUCGAUUCCUUUCACUGGUAGACUCAUGUAACCCUUACCUACCUUUGUGACAAGGUUUCGUGACCUCUUGACGCCGUUGGCCGUGCCAUCCCCGACCCCAUGCCAAAGCCGCGCACGGAGCUCCGCCCGUCGCCGUCCGGAGACGCCCUCAACCCCGAAAACCGCAUCACGGUGUCCGCCUCGACGUCUUCCACGGACCCAUCGAACCC